rfam:Triticum aestivum genome assembly, contig: Triticum_aestivum_CS42_TGACv1_scaffold_309416_4AS
GCCACCAUGGUGAAAUUGGUAGACACGCUGCUCUUAGGAAGCAGUGCUCAAGCAUCUCGGUUUGAAUCCGAGUGGCAGCA